UGCCGAGCUGCAUACUUCCUUACAUGCCCAUACUGUACUGUGAAUGGAUAUGGAAUGUAAAGAAGUAUGUAGAACGGAA
rnacentral:pre_miRNA from 14 species